AUGGACAUGGAGAGCGACGAGGCCGCCGCGCGCUCCCUCGCGGCCGUCCCCGGAGGCGGCGGGAGUGAUUUCUUGAGCCGCCUCCCCGACCACCUCCUCGUCGACAUCCUCCUCCGCCUCUGCACCAAGGAUGCCGUCGCGACGACCGUCCUCUCCAGGCGAUGGCGCGCCGUAUGGCCUGGGCUCCCCCACCUCAACUUCGACGGCGUCGACCCCUCCGUACCCGCCCGUGCGCUCGCUUCCUACCAGGACCUCGCCGCAUUCGACAUCCAGCGCCUCGCCGUCUCGCCCAAUCAGGUGGACGCGCAGGAGACCUCCGCCUGGCUUGCCCUCGCCGCGCCCCGCCUCACUGGCCCGCUACACUUAGACAUCAGCCGUGCUCUUUCGGAGGAGGCAUUGGAUGACCUCCUCAUGGCGGACGAGGUCGAUGACGACGACCAGGAGGCCUUGGAGUUCCCCUGCUUUGUCAGAGCCACGGAGAUUCGACUUGACCUGGCGUUUCUUGCCCCGGUGUUGCCACCAAUUGGCGUCUUCGAGGCGCUUAGGUCGAUCUUCCUGCAUAAUUUUCGAUGCCAAGGCCAGAUCAUCUUCAACGACAUGGUGUUUCCUUCCCUGCAACAUCUGACCAUGAACAGGGCCCGUUGCCUGAACGUGCUGAUCAACUCCAACGCGCUGGUAUCCGUUCACCUAUCUUACUUCAUGCUGCUGCAGCAGCUUGCCAUCAUGGCUCCAGGGCUACAGCAGCUAGAGGUGCUGCGCUGCUUCUAUGACGCGCCCAUACCAGUUGCCAACAUUACUGCGGAAAGCUUAGAGGUUCUCAGCUGGGAUGGGCCGUAUGACGCAGAGUUUGUUCACUUUGGAGAGAUGCCUUGCCUCUGGAGGCUCAGAGCCCCUCCCAUCUUCACACUUCGGUGGCAGGAAUUUCAGAUGGCUCAGAUUUGUGCAAGGUUUCUAAAUCGGUUUGCAGCAGUUAAUCAGCUGGAGCUUCACAUGAGUCUUGGCUGUGCCUUUGAGAUUGAAUUGCGUUGUGACGAAGCAAGAUCAUAUUGCAACAUGAGAUUUGCUCACAAAUAA
rnacentral:rRNA from 1 species